rnacentral:rRNA from 1 species
UACCCAUCUCUACGGAACAACUCCGGGAAACUGGAGCUAAUACCGUAUACGUCCUUCGGGAGAAAGAUUUAUCGGAGAUGGAUGAGCCCGCGUUGGAUUAGCUAGUUGGUGGGGUAAUGGCCUACCAAGGCGACGAUCCAUAGCUGGUCUGAGAGGAUGAUCAGCCACACUGGGACUGAGACACGGCCCAGACUCCUACGGGAGGCAGCAGUGGGGAAUAUUGGACAAUGGGCGAAAGCCUGAUCCAGCCAUGCCGCGUGAGUGAUGAAGGCCCUAGGGUUGUAAAGCUCUUUCAACGGUGAAGAUAAUGACGGUAACCGUAGAAGAAGCCCCGGCUAACUUCGUGCCAGCAGCCGCGGUAAUACGAAGGGGGCUAGCGUUGUUCGGAAUUACUGGGCGUAAAGCGCACGUAGGCGGAUACUUAAGUCAGGGGUGAAAUCCCGGGGCUCAACCCCGGAACUGCCUUUGAUACUGGGUAUCUGGAG